ACAUCCAGAGAAUUUAGCAGAGAUGCUUUAGUGCCUUCGGGAACUCUGAGACAGGUGCUGCAUGGCUGUCGUCAGCUCGUGUUGUGAAAUGGUUGGGUUAAGUCCCGCAACGAGCGCAACCCUUAUCCUUUGUUGCCAGCACGUAAUGGUGGGAACUCAAAGGAGACUGCCGGUGAUAAACCGGAGGAAGGUGGGGAUGACGUCAAGUCAUCAUGGCCCUUACGAGUAGGGCUACACACGUGCUACAAUGGCGCAUACAAAGAGAAGCGACCUCGCGAGAGCAAGCGGACCUCAUAAAGUGCGUCGUAGUCCGGAUUGGAGUCUGCAACUCGACUCCAUGAAGUCGGAAUCGCCAGUAAUCGUAAAUCAGAAUGUUACGGUGAAUACGUUCCCGGGCCUUGUACACACCGCCCGUCACACCAUGGGAGUGGGUUGCAAAAGAAGUAGAUAGCUUAACCUUCGGGAGGGCGUUUACCACUUUGUGAUUCAUGACUGGGGUGAAGUCGUAACAAGGUAGGCGUAGUGCU
rnacentral:rRNA from 1 species